AUACUUACCUGGCAGGGAAGAUAGCAUAAUCAUGCAGGUGGUUUUCUCAGGGCGGGGCUUAUCCAUUGCAGUCUGGAUGUGCUGACCCCUGUGAUUUCUCCAAAUGUGGGAAACUUGACUGCAUAAUUUGUGAUAGUGAGGACUGCAUUUGCACUCUUCC